rnacentral:tRNA from 1 species
CAAGACACGCGGGGGUCUAACCCACACUUCCGCCUUGACAAGGCGGUGUAAUGUGCUCUUUUACUAGUGUCUU